GUCGAACGCUGGCGGCGUGCUUAACACAUGCAAGUCGUACGGUAAGGCCCUUUCGGGGGUACACGAGUGGCGAACGGGUGAGUAACACGUGAGUAACCUGCCCACAGCUUUGGGAUAACGCUAGGAAACUGGUGCUAAUACUGGAUAUGUGCUCCUGCUGCAUGGUGGGGGUUGGAAAGCUCCGGCGGUUGUGGAUGGACUCGCGGCCUAUCAGCUUGUUGGUGGGGUAGUGGCCUACCAAGGCGGCGACGGGUAGCCGGCCUGAGAGGGUGACCGGCCACAUUGGGACUGAGAUACGGCCCAGACUCCUACGAGAGGCAGCAGUGGCAAAUAUUGCACAAUGGGCGCAAGCCUGAUGCAGCAACUCCGCGUGCGGGAUGACGGCCUUCGGGUUGUAAACCGCUUUCAGCAGGGACGAAGCUUUUUGUGACGGUACCUGCAGAAGAAGCACCGGCUAACUACGUG
rnacentral:rRNA from 1 species